GACGUAGGGGGCGAGCGUUGUCCGGAAUUACUGGGCGUAAAGAGCACGUAGGCGGGAAUUUAAGUCAGAUGUGAAAGACCGGGGCUCAACUCCGGGGUUGCAUUUGAAACUGAAUUUCUUGAGGGCAGGAGAGGAAAGCAGAAUUCCUGGUGUAGCGGUGAAAUGCGUAGAAAUCAGGAGGAAUACCAGUGGCGAAGGCGGCUUUCUGGACUGACCCUGACGCUGAGGUGCGAAAGCGUGGGUAGCAAACAGG
rnacentral:rRNA from 1 species